rnacentral:rRNA from 1 species
GAUGAACGCUAGCGGCAGGCCUAAUACAUGCAAGUCGAACGGGUGGUCGCAAGACCACUAGUGGCGCACGGGUGCGUAACGCGUAACCAACCUGCCCCGAUCUGGGGGAUAGCCCGCCGAAAGGCGGAUUAAUACCGCAUAUACCCGCAGCCUGGCAUCAGGCAACGGGGAAAGAUUUAUUGGAUCGGGAUGGGGUUGCGUGACAUUAGCUAGUUGGCGGGGUAAGGGCCCACCAAGGCGACGAUGUCUAGGGGACCUGAGAGGGUGAUCCCCCACACUGGCACUGAGAUACGGGCCAGACUCCUACGGGAGGCAGCAGUAGGGAAUAUUGGGCGAUGGGCGAGAGCCUGACCCAGCCAUGCCGCGUGCCGGAUGAAGGCCUUCUGGGUUGUAAACGGCUUUUCUCAGGGAAGAAAAGGACCUUGCGAGGUACACUGACGGUACCUGAGGAAUAAGCACCGGCUAACUCCGUG